rnacentral:lncRNA from 1 species
ACGAAUACAGUUUCCUCUUUCAGAUUUAUGGCAUUAAGGUAGAUACGGCGUGGAUCGAUGAGAUGAGGACCUAAUAUUUUGUGAAAAGCUAGAAAAAGUGGACACUUGCUGUUGAAAAUGGCCAGAAGAUUUUUUGGGAGAUCACCAAAUUGGUGAGAUGAGACUUAGGAAUGCAUUGAACAUUGAUUUUGGUGCUGCCAGUUGGAAUUUAGCACAGGAAGCAUAAUUGUUUUAUUUGUAUAGUCUUUUUUUGUGGGGUUUGUCUUGCAUCCACCUUUUCCUUUUCGCAUCUUUACCACAUUCUUG